rnacentral:lncRNA from 1 species
GUCUUUUUCCUUUUGUUUUCCUUCUUCUCCUCAGUUUGCAGUUACUACUGUAAGUAUAUAAUGGCCCCAAAAAUUUAAAAGAAGAUGGAUGUAUUAAAAUUUCUAAGUGCAGAAGCGAAAAAAAAUUCUGAUUUAUAUCCCUUACACAAUAACCAAAAACGUAUUCAACGUUGGAAAGAAUAAGCUAAUUAAAGGAAAUACUCGAAAUAAAAACUAUAAAUAGAACUAUAAAAUCUUUAG